AGAGUUUGAUCAUGGCUCAGGACGAACACUGGGCGGCGUGCCUAAUACAUGCAAGUCGAGCGAAUCAAUGGGAGCUUGCUCCCUGAGAUUAGCGGCGGACGGGUGAGUAACACGUGGGUAACCUGCCUGUAAGACUGGGAUAACUUCGGGAAACCGGAGCUAAUACCGGAUAAGUUCUUUUCUCGCAUGAGGAGAGAUGGAAAGAUGGUUCUGCUAUCACUUACAGAUGGACCCGCGGCGCAUUAGCUAGUUGGUGAGGUAACGGCUCACCAAGGCGACGAUGCGUAGCCGACCUGAGAGGGUGAUCGGCCACACUGGGACUGAGACACGGCCCAGACUCCUACGGGAGGCAGCAGUAGGGAAUCUUCCGCAAUGGACGAAAGUCUGACGGAGCAACGCCGCGUGAGCGAAGAAGGCCUUCGGGUCGUAAAGCUCUGUUGUUAGGGAAGAACAAGUAUCGGAGUAACUGCCGGUACCUUGACGGUACCUAACCAGAAAGCCACGGCUAACUACGUGCCAGCAGCCGCGGUAAUACGUAGGUGGCAAGCGUUGUCCGGAAUUAUUGGGCGUAAAGCGCGCGCAGGCGGUCCUUUAAGUCUGAUGUGAAAGCCCACGGCUCAACCGUGGAGGGUCAUUGGAAACUGGGGGACUUGAGUGCAG
rnacentral:rRNA from 1 species